UGAUGCAGCAACGCCGCGUGAGGGAUGACGGCCUUCGGGUUGUAAACCUCUUUUAGCAGGGAAGAAGCGAGAGUGACGGUACCUGCAGAAAAAGCGCCGGCUAACUACGUGCCAGCAGCCGCGGUAAUACGUAGGGCGCAAGCGUUAUCCGGAAUUAUUGGGCGUAAAGAGCUCGUAGGCGGUUUGUCGCGUCUGCUGUGAAAUCCCGAGGCUCAACCUCGGGCCUGCAGUGGGUACGGGCAGACUAGAGUGCGGUAGGGGAGAUUGGAAUUCCUGGUGUAGCGGUGGAAUGCGCAGAUAUCAGGAGGAACACCGAUGGCGAAGGCAGAUCUCUGGGCCGUAACUGACGCUGAGGAGCGAAAGGGUGGGGAGCAAACAGGCUUAGAUACCCUGGUAGUCCACCCCGUAAACGUUGGGAACUAGUUGUGGGGACCAUUCCACGGUUUCCGUGACGCAGCUAACGCAUUAAGUUCCCCGCCUGGGGAGUACGGCCGCAAGGCUAAAACUCAAAGGAAUUGACGGA
rnacentral:rRNA from 1 species